rnacentral:rRNA from 1 species
CGCGCAGGUGGUUUCUUAAGUCUGAUGUGAAAGCCCACGGCUCAACCGUGGAGGGUCAUUGGAAACUGGGAGACUUGAGUGCAGAAGAGGAUAGUGGAAUUCCAAGUGUAGCGGUGAAAUGCGUAGAGAUUUGGAGGAACACCAGUGGCGAAGGCGACUGUCUGGUCUGUAACUGACACUGGGGCGCGAAAGCGUGGGAGCAAACA